UUCAUAUUAUAGUAACCAACAUAUUCAAUACUUUCAAAUGAAGAAAAAUAAUUGGCAUCUUCAUUUGAAAGUAUUGAAUAUGUUGGUUACUAUAAUAUGAA
rfam:Arabidopsis thaliana chromosome 1, complete sequence.